ACACAACUUCUGGAAUAAAAGGGAAUCUUGAUGGACACUAUAGUCACUAAAUCAAUUUUAGUGUAAUGAAGCAGUUUUGGUGUAUGGUUCAUACCCCUGUAGUCUCACUGCUUAAUUUUCUGCCAUUUAGGAGUUAAAUCACUUUGUAUAUGCAGCACUAGCCACACCUCCCAGCAUGUGACAUGUACAUCCUUCCUAAACACUUCCUGUAAAGACAUCUAAUGUUUUAACUUUUAUUUCACAGUCUGUUUAAUAUAGAAUUUCUCAUCUGAUGCUCUAUUAAUAGAGUGCUAAACCCAACAGGAACCUCCUGUAUGUAAUUAAAGUUAACUUUACAGAGCAAGAAAUAAAAACUUGUAAAGUAAGUGAAAUUCUGAAAAUGUAACUAUUUUUUUUCAUGUUGAUUGUGUGAAUCACAGCCAGGAAAGGUGUGGCUAGGGCCUCAGAGAAUUAAGCAGUGAGAAUGCAGUGUCAUGAUCUAUUCACCAAAACUACUUCAUUAAGCUAAAAUUGUAUUGGUGACUAUAAUGUUCUUCUAAGAGAAAUUAUUCUAAAUUAUCUUUUUUUUUUUUUUCUUUUUUCCUAUUGCAAUUUACAAUAAUAGUAACUGUCAUUCUAAAGGUCUAAAGUUGAAAUACCA